rnacentral:lncRNA from 1 species
AGCCUCUCGUCGGAAAAGAAGAACUAGUCGCCGGAGAAGGGAGCCGUCCGCCACCUGCCGCCUCGCCGGAGCCACCUCCGAUCGUCAAAAAAGGUAAAACAUUCUUCUAUCCGUUCGGAAUUUGAUUUCGAACACCCUCAUGACCAAAUCAGAGUAAAAAGAACGACGGAUCAGACGAAAACUUCGGGUAAAGCCUGGCGAAGCUGUCGCAGGCAAAAUUCGAAAUCAGUUCCAAUGAACCCCUUUCCGUUUCACGUUUCAUGCGAUUUUUCCACUAUUAUGUUCAUCAUUCUAUUUUCUACAUGCUGAUUGAAAAAAAAUGUUCAACCGCGAAGGUGAGUCAACGGAGCCGCCGCACCGAAAAAUGUUGCCGCCGGUAAUUUUUUUUAUUUUUUGACUUUUUUUCGAUCAACUGAGACCUCCUAACAUGUUUUAUCGCAGGGAUGUGUAUAAAACUGACCGAAACCGGUCAAAACUGGCUGAAAACUGUUAGGCCGAGGCAAACCGUUGUCGCGAGCAUCGGUGCCGUCGCGGGAGCACAGCAGUGCUGACGUGUCGGAAUUUUGAAAUUAGCCGAAAAAGAUUUUUAACACCGAUUUUGAGUUUUUUGGGAUAUUUUUUAGGUAUAUGAAACGUGUUUUAAUCUUCGCAUAAAAAUUCAGAAAACCCGGAGACCGCUAGUAGGUGCAGUAGAAAGUUCAGUAUUUCGGAUAUCGAUUCUGGUUAAAAUUCUUCAACUUAUUUUCUGUUAUGGAAUUGAACUUUAAUUAUCAAUAAUAUGGUAUUUUGCGUAAUUUAAAACUUUUCGAGAAUUAAUUAUAGGUUACUAAUGGAGACAAAACCGGUUAUUUAUUAUCGUUUGUCCUAUUUAACCGAUUGUUUGAUUUUAUUACUUU